ensembl:lncRNA
UUUUUAUUAUAUAUUUUACUAUUUUCAGAUUCUACCUAUUUGCUUUCCCUAGUCUCUUAUUUAUAAGGGUUGUAAUUUUUCUAAUUUCCUUAAAGCAGUAUUUGGUUCACUUUACUUUAAAUAGAAUGUGUGUAUAUAUGGCUAUAAAUUUUUCCUCUGUAGCUUUCUUUUUCAGUACAUUUUGCUAUGAACUGUUCUCCUUUUCAGUUUUUUCUAGAAAUUUAGAAAUUGCUUUUGUUUUCUUCUUAUUUAGGAAUGAUCACUUUUGGAUUUAUUUAUUUAUUUAUUAGCAUCUGAUAAUUAGUUCUUCCUUACUCUUGCAAAGGAUUUUUCCUUUUCAGCACUGGGUAUCGAAGCUAGAGCCUUUAGCAUGCUGGACAAGCACUCUACCAUUGAGCCAUAACCUAGGCCCUUUUAUUUUUCUUUUUUGUUGUUGUUGUUGUUUUUGUCCUUUUAUUUUUCUUAUUUUGAGACAGAGUCUGGCUAAGUUACCCAGGUUAGCCUCAAACUUGUGAUCCACAAGGAAUUAAUUUUUAAUGUUAUUCUGCAAAAUUUAAUGAAAACAUCAAAAUACAACAAACCUGAUACCUUACACCUACAGACUACUUCUAAGUAAACUGUGAUCCUAUUUUUCGUAUAUUUAUCCCUCUUUUCAUAUUUUCCUAGUUCAUCUUUUCUUCAAUGUGAACUUCAGGGGCAAUGUUUGAGUUCCUCUCACCAGUUCUGUUCCUGUUCUCCUCAUUUUCUGACCAUGGACUUCACCAAGCUGAACCAAAGCUAUGCUCUGACUCUCCAGGGAGCUGAGCAGACUCAAGUAAGUGAUGCCCUCACUUAAGUGCUGACAAGAAGAAACGGGGAGCCUGUAAGCCAUUCUUGUCCCGUACAUGGCUUCUGCUCUGCGGCAGUGACAGCUCAGGCUGGUGGUACUAGAAAUGAAAUGUUCAGAGUAGGACAUUGAAGAAACUAGUCUUGUGGUUUUGGCUUUUGAGCAGACAGGAACCAGUUGAAAUGAAAAUAUCUGAGCAGAGGCAGGCUGGCCCUUUCUCAGGAAUGUUCUAGAAAGUCAUAUGGGCUGGAGCAAAGAUAAACUUCAGGUGACUUCCCUUAUCUCCAGAAUAGUAUCUAAAAUUCUUCAGCAGGAGCAAAUAAUGCAAACAAGAAGCAAGUUCUCUUCCCCUCUUUCUUCUGCUUGUCUUUUUUAUUCACUUGAAGUCAAUUCCACAUGCCCUUGCAUCCUAGAUCUUCAACCUUGAGAGUGAGUGUGACUGUCCUUAGGAAGAAACUGCAAAAUUGAAAGCCUCAACUGACCAUCCUAAAAAAGCAAGUAAGCCUCCAGAGGGUGAGUGUUUGCCAGGGAAGGGAUAGGGAGUUUUCCAGAAUGUGCAAGGGAUAUAAUGUUUUAAAACUUUUUCUAAGACCACUUGCUUUCAGCUCUGAGCCCCCAUUCUGCUAAGGCAUCAGGGAACUUCAUGUCAGUCAUGAGCAGGGCGCUGUCUCCCUCUAAACUGGGUCUGCAUUCAGCAAGGCCUGAAUAUCCUGAUUGCUUUCUAGAGCAUUGAAUUGUCCAGUGUCCUUGGCUGUGUACUUCUGUACCUCACAGAACAGGCCACCAGGCCUCAGAGCCCCCUGGGUUCGAUCCCCCACCUCCCAUGUGUUUCCCUGCCUCCUUUUCUGAGGUCUGGGUGCUGCCUUUCAGCUCCUACAGUUUCCUUCCUGGACACCCAGGAUGUCCCUGGAGGCUCCUCCAUCUACAAGGUUUUGGGGGCUGCUUCUGCUUUUUGGCCUUACAGCUUCCUGGGACAAAGCAUUGUUGACCCUAAGUUCAUGCUUGAAAGGGCAAAAAGGAGACUGUGAAGAGAAAACAUGAAUUAACAUUUCAAAAAUAUUUUGCUCUACAAAUCAGAUGACCCCCUUCACAUCUAGUACAAAUUAGAUUGAUUUGUCCACUCAUUCCUUUACUGAACUGAACGUAUUGAGGACCUCCUGCAUGCCAAGGAUAUUGUUAUACUCUCUCCAAAUUGGAUCUUCAAUGGCAGCACUCUUCUCAAUGCUUAACUUACGCACUAACUUCUCAGACUUUCCCACUGGAGCACAACAAAUUUGAUUUCUACAGUAUGGGAUUCUUAGGAUACUGAGGAAAAUCAAUCAAUUUUUCUAACUGCAUUCUCACCAUACUGAUAUUUUCCAGGAUUGCAAGACAUGUGGGGCUUUCUCUCCCCAAGUAAGCAACCAAGUCUGCAGCAAACACAGCUGAGCCUCCUUUCCUCCAACUUAAAUUUAAUGCUGUCUCCCUGGAGAUAGUGUAGGAGCCUAGAGAUUGAGGGCUUAACCCCCAAGACUGCCUGCACUUCAUUCUCCAGUCACAAGCCCAGCACUAAGAACCUUCUGAUCCACCAGCUACAAAGUGAGCUCUCUGUGACUCCCUCUUUAGGCUCAAGUAACUUGUUAGAGUGCUCACAAAUCUCAGGGAAACGUGUUUAUUCAUAUCCUUUAAGAGAGCCUUUACAAAAAAAAAAAUUAAUAAACAGCAAGGUGAAGAGAUAUGUAGGAUGCAGACUGAAAAGGUCUGAGCAUGGGGGCCUCUGCCCCCAUGGAGUUGGGGUACAGCACCCUCCCAGCACAUGGAUGAAUCUAGUUCACCUUCCCAUAAGCCUCCACAUGCCCAGCUGUCCGGAAGCUCUCUGAACCCCAUCCUUUUGGGGUUCGAUUGCUCAGGCAGGAUUGAGGUGGGCCACGAUUAGACAAAUGGUCUGAGCUAAUGCUAAUAGACUGGGUGGGAAACACAGGCCUGUCUGUCCAGAUUCCUCUUGGCCCCUCCAUUUCCUCCUCUCAGGCCCCCUUCUGAAAUGGGGAUCUUAGCAUUUAUUAUCAAUGUGGGUCAAGGAAUUUCUUUAUGGUCAGCUCCAAGACAGAGAGGUAGGGGAAAAUUAGACUCUAUUUUUAGUUUCUCGAAGCUUUCUUGGGAAAGAGAAAUUCUAGUCUCUAUGGCCUGAAUUGGGGAGAAAAGGGAGUAGGUAAAAGGAAUGCAAGAGAAGAUCUUAGAGAGAAAUAUUUUACUUUCUGAGGCCUAAUGCAUGCUGACAUUACUGUCUUUCUCCGUUAUAACUUUAGCUAAAGCUAAAGCUGUUCUGAAGCUGCUCUUUGAACCAAGGACAGAAGGUCAAAUCUUUAACAGAGCAAGGCUUAUUAUUCCAGUCACUUGACAAGUAACAAAGGCAAAGCCAGGAACCAUGGGUGAAAACUAAAACGAAAUUAUAUAAUAUCAUACACACACACACACACACACACACACACACACACACACACACGCACAGUAUAGUCUGGACCUGAAAUGUCUCCCAAAGGCCCAUGCAUUAAAGGGUUAGUCCCCAGCUUGAUGCUAUUGGGGUGUGGUGUAAACUUCAAGAGAUGGGUCCUAGAAGGAAGUCUGCCCUCGAAGGGGAUUGUGACAUCCUGUAACUUCCUCUUUCUAUUAUUCAAUUCCCACCAUGAGGUGAAUGGCUCAUGCUCCUACAUCCUCUCAAUGUAAUGUACUGCCACAGGCCCAAAGCAAGGGAAACAACCAAUGGGAGACCAAAACCUCCAGAAUAGUGAGCCCAAGUACUUUCUCUCUUCAUAAGUUGAUGUAUCUCGGGUGUUUGUUACAGUAAUGGAAAGGUGACUAACAGUGUGUGUGUGUGUGUGCGUGCGUGUGUGCAUGCUCUAAAUGUAAAAUAUCUUAGGCAUUCAUCUUAACACCCUCAUGAUUUAGAACUAGAUAUUCUACCUUCUUGAAUACAAAGCUCAAUAAGUGUUGGCAGAAAGGUAGAAUAGACUAGAUACUGAGGAUAGGGAAGAUGGUGAUAUUAAACCAGAAGGGAACAUCAUUCUAUAGAAGUCCAGCAAAAAUACUUACUAAAAUGAAAAAAUACUAUUCUGUUCUUGAAACAGCAGCUUAAUGAGGAGCUUUAAUGAAAACUGUGCCAAUAAGAUUUUAUCUGGGAGGUAUUAUUCCUUCUUAUUCCACAUUCCCCAAAUGAUCAUUGUUAAUGUUUAUUAUUAGGUGGCCAGAUCUAUGUAGGGUGCUUAAUGUGUUAUAUUACACUGAGGUCUUCAGAGAAACAGAGUCAAUAGAACACAUACACACACACACACACACACACACACAGACAGACACACAUACUGUUGGAGUCCUAGGAUACAAUGCAGACUGAGUCUGAAGGCCUAGGACCUGAGGGAACCAGAUGACCUCAGUCCAUUCGUUGAAAGUUUGUUAUAGUUCAAGUGCUAUAGAAGAUGAGAUGAGGUAUCCUAGCUCCAGCAGGCCAGUAGGAAUAAAGGAGCACAUUCCUCCAUGUGCUGUCAUUUGUUCUAUUCAGUUCUUCAGCAGAUAGGGUGAUGCCACCCACAUUAGGGUGGACCAUGUACUGAGUCUGCCAGUCCAAACACUAAUCUCAUCUGGAAACACCUUCACAGACACAGUCAGGACUAAUGUUUAAUUUGGGCAGCCCAUGGCCCACUCAAGUUGACGUGUAAAACCAUCAUGUCCAUGUAACCCUUAAUCUUCCAAGCCACUCUGUGAACUAAGUCCUAGUGUCAUCAGUCUCCAUGUGUGGGGGUGAGUCAGAAGCUGGUUUGGAGCCAUGGCACUUGGACAUUGACUGCUACAUAAUGUUGCCACAGGAUCCUCACUUGCCUGCUUCAUCUCUCUAUCUUAUCUCUUAUCUCUCCAGGUGGACACAGAUUACUCUUCACUUGACCAUUAGUCCUGUGGAAAGUGCACUAGGGGGCACCGCCCCUCAAAUGCCCCAGAAAGGUGGAGAGCCUGAGAAAAAUCUUAGAAAACAAGGUGGAUUUCACAUUUUCCUUCAUGUUCCAAUCACAUGUGUUUUGACAAGAUAUCAGGAACUAAUGUUCCCAUAUCAGAUGAUUCAAACAUAAGAACAAGUGCAAUGCCAUGGACUUGAAACAGGAAGAGGAUCCUCCAGCAAACAUAGAACACUGUUUCCCACAGUGAGCUGUGAGAAAUGUUAGUCCAGGGAACCAUUUUCAAGGAAAUGCCUUGCAACCAUUACUAUUUUCUUGGAAAUUCCUAAUGUCAAAGGCAACGAGAAGUCCCAUAGUAAAGCAACCUGACUACCCCAGCACUUCUCUUCCUAAUUGGAUCCUAGGCCCACUCUCCCCUUUUAUAAAGAAUACAUAUUAAUAUCUCACAACACUUAUUUCAGAAAACAUUGAACUAGACCAGUGCUGAAUCAAAAGGAACUUCCCACACACAAGGUGUGUGGUCAUUCUGAGUGUAUCAUCCAUCCAGAAAGAAUUUGGAGAGAAAUCUCAGGCUGAAUAGAUCCUGAAAGCUUCCAUGCUUCCUCAUCAGGCAUCAUGUGCACUGCAUCCACUCCAGCCUGCUUAGCAGGCCCCGGGGCUGGCCUUGAAUGCUAGCCCUGUACCCCCACGCAGGUCUCAGGCUUUUUACCUUCCAGUGCACACAAAUACCAGCCAAGGGAAGAAAUUAAAAAUUGGGGCAACUGCCACAUUUCAAAUAUUCCCUCUCCAGUAACCUAAGAAAAAAAUCAAUGACUGUGUCUGUGAGAGACUGUUAAAGUUUGGCUUGUUGGCCGUGGUGGGCAGUCAGUAACUGUAACUGCCCUUCAGGGCCACACCAAGUGGAAAUUUCACCAAGUUGGGUUUUUAGGAACCCUAUCAGCAAUCCCAGGAUCGGGUCUUAUAUCUAACAAAUUAUAUUUUACAUUUUUUAAGAGCAAGUUACUGACAACUAGGCCGAUCCCUCUGCAAUUAGAAUCUGAUGUCAGAGUGAGAAAAUCCUCUGCUAACUGGGAACUCCCAUGUCACUCAUUCUGUAUUAAUGAUAUUUAUUCUCUAUCGUUGUUCCAUUCUGAAAAAAAUGGGUCCCCUGGUUCCAAUGUUAUGUUAAGCAUAUUACAUGUUACUCCAAAGUCAGUUCAUAUAUUACAGCUCGUUACACUCCUGGGUAUACAUUUCUGAAUAGCUCUCACUCCACAGUUACAGCUCCACGUUAAAUAUGGGCUGCCAUGAGUGCAGCCUCAGAGAGUUGUCUGUUCUAUUCCCGGCUUCUUGUUUUCCCUUGGAGUUUUCCCCCCUUCUGCUGCAUACUUCUUAGGGAAGAUGUGCCCUGCAGUAAGAAAAGUCUACCUGGGGAAGGUGAAAAGUGUUUCUCUAGAGUUCUCUGGAAGGGAGGUUAGCAGUGGCAGCUGUUUGCAUGCAUGUAGCUUUCUGUGGGGACCAGCUACAACUCGGUAUGUGAGUGGGAGGCUAGUGGUGGGUGCCGGGAACUAUCUGUACCAUUGACAAAAAGCCACAGUAUUUUUCCUCUGGCAGUAUUAACGUUAGAAUGAGUUUUUGUCCUCUACAGCCAUGAAGUUUGCACUGCCUUGGCUAGCACAUUCCUGAGCCUCUGUGUCAUACCAUCAAGAGACAGUUUUGGGAAUUUCACAGGAUAUCAUCUUUUUAGUCACUUUAGUGGAGCCUACCAUGACAACACAUUUUUAUUUCCAUUUGCUGCAGAGUCCAAGCUCUUAACAAGCCACCAGCUUCUUUCUUUGCUUCAUUCAUUCAACAUACACUAUGAAAAGGGUUAUGUGAGGCUCAGGAAUACAACAAUGAACCAGGAAACUCCAAAGUGCUCAACAUGUGAGGUCUGUGGUCUUGGGCACAGUUCUCACAAAGCUCGUGCCAGUGACCCACCUGUCUGGUGUGGCUCUUCUGAGCCAUAAACAGGCAAAACAGAUGGCCUGCAUGGCAUACUCAAGGUGGCAUAUGCAGUGAUUCUCCUGGGCCCCAAAGGCUCUCAAAAGGUGGACAAGUCAAGUGCCACUUUUCUUCUGUGCAUCUUUGGCUGGUUCUGAUUUCCUCCUUACACUUUCAAUUAUCUGAGCCAUUGCCCAACACAGUGUGAUGAGCCCCAGGCACCUCUCUUUUUCAAGAUAAGGGGAGAUCUUCAGACAAAAAGUGACUGAAAUGGGACCAGGACACAGAGCCCCUGGAGCCCUGUGCUGUCUCCCUUGGCUACAAAGCUGAAUGCUUGAGGCUCUUGACAAAUGAGAAUCAGAUUGUGUCCAAAAUACAUCUCAACCUCUUGGGGCUGUCUGUAGCCAUAUAAGGAACUGGUUAGGAGCUAUUUAUCAGAGAGUUUCUUGAGGGCAGAGAGAACCUGCAGGGCACUUCGAUUAGCUGAGCAGCCCCAGCUCUGAUGUGCCUGCAGCUGUCACCAUGAGAAGGUAUCAGCGAUUCGAAAGGCACCACGGCUGCAAUUUCCUAUGCAAGAGCUGCAGUGGAUCCAUUUUUCUAUCCCCAACUCCUUUGAACAUCUUUGCCAAUAUUUGUUUAGAGUCUUGCAUUUUGGAAAAUAUCAGAGUCCAAACAUAGAAAAACUAUUGACAUGUAGGUGUUUUAAUGAAAGCGUCAAAUAUGACUGCCUGAUGAUCAUGGCACCUCAGCCAAAAGUGAAUCAAAAAGGUCAUGUAGGGAAUCCACCUGCUUUUCCUACAUGAUCCAAAUAAGAACAGAGAAUCUGAGUCAUGACACCUGUUCCAGGCCAUAAUUCCUGUGCCUUUCUCACCUGUAAUUGUAUCCACAGACAACUCCAAACCCAAGGGGCUCUACAUAUAGCUCCCUCCCAUAGCAAGUCCUCUAGUUUCCUUUUGAGUCUCAGCAGGAAGCAUUUUCCUACGUGUAGAUUUUCAGGACUCAUGUACAUUUGCCUUAAAAAAUAUCUCUAGAUGUCUUUUUGUUCUGAAAGCUGUAAUGAUGUACUUAAAAAACACACUGAAUUUUUGAAAACCAAAAGCUCCACUUAUCCCACAGCCAGUUUUCUGCCAUACAGAAGACAACUAAACUAAGGUUGGCAGUAUUUAUUUCAACUUUAUCUCUCCAAGCUGCUCAUACACCUCUCUUAUGAAAGGUGUGAAUACUGAAAUCAGACUUGAUUUCCUCUGUCAUGUGUAAGAAGCUUUCUCAAAACUUCUCCCUGUGACAGUCCUCAGAACUUUACAUUUUACUAUUCUUCUGUAUUAUUCCUACCAGAUUAUGAACUUAUUUAUCUUUGCAUUUUCAAAGUUUAGUACAAUAUUUAUGUUACUGGUGGUCAGCAAACAUUGAGUAGAAGGGAAGAGGGAGGAAGAAGGAAGAGGGAAGUAUUCAGAAUCCUAAAGUGUUUCCUCCCAGGCCGACUCAGGUGAUACCUGGAGCCCCUGGGUUACAUGGCUGAACCUUUUACACAGUGUAGUUUGGUAGAUUGAAUUGAAAAUGUUUCAUCAGGCAUGUCUGGAGCCAGUUUAAAGUAGUUACUUCUUGAAAAUUCUCUCCAAGUAUGAGUGGGAAAAAAAAUCAAGACUAAUUUGAGAAUCCUGGGAAAUCUCAACUCCUUCACUAUUUCCCUAUACUUCAUCCAUAAGCAUAUCCUACUGUAAAUCAAAGACUUCUGGAACCAGGAGACAAAUAAGUAGUCUAGAAGGCUGACAACAAGCUAUUCCCCCCAAAUAAGAAAACAAUUCUAAAUACAGUAGCAUCAAAAAUAGUAAAACACUUGAAAAUAAACUUACCCAAGGAGGUAAAAGAUAUAUACACUGAAAACUAGGAAAAAAAAUGAUGAAAGAAAUUUAAGAAAACAAAAAUAAAGGAAAGACAUCCUAUGUUCAUGAAUUAGGAGACUCAAUAUUAUUAAGAUGUCUAUGCUACCCAAUAUAAUCUACAAAUUCAUGUAAUCUCUAUCAAAAUCCUAAUGGCAUUUUUAUGUAAGUAGAAAAUAUAAUCCUAAAACUCAUAUAAAACUACAAAGGACUCCAAAUAAUCAAAACAAUCUUGAGAAUGUAUAAUACUGACAUAAAGACAGACACAAUAAAGCAAGCGAACAGAAUAGAGAUGCAGAAAUAUAACUAUAAAUACACAAAUGGUUAGCUAAUCUUCUACAAGGAUGCUAAGUAAACACAAUAGGGAAAGGAUAAUUUCCUCAACAAAUGUUAUUGGAAAACAGGGUAUCUAUAAGUAAAGGAUUGAAAUUGGAUCAUUUCCUUGUAUCAUAUAUUCUAAAAUUAUCUCAAAGUGAAUUAAAGACUUAGAAUUAUAAAAAUCCUAGAAGAAAACAUGUGAGAAAACCUUAUGAUAUUGGACUUUACAAUGAUUUAUUGGAUAGGACUCCAAAAGAAUAAGCAGAAAUAAACAAGGACGACUACACCAAAUGGAAAGGCUUCUGUAUAACAAAGGAAAUGACAGAAUGAAAAGAAAACCCAUAGAAUGGGGAAAAUAUGUGCAAACCAUAUAUCUGAUAAGGGAUUCAUAUCUAAAAUAUAUAAGGAACAUCUACAACUUAAUAGCACACCACCAAAAGAUCUAAUUAAGAAUUGAAAAGACGUGAAUAGACGUUUCUCCUAAGAAGACAUACAAAUUCCCAACUAAUGGUACAUCACUAAUCAUCAGGUUAGUACAACUCAAACCACAAUGAGAGAUCGUCACAUACCUGUGAAGAUAGGCGCUGGAAAAAAAACAAGUUUUGAUGUGGGUAUGAAAAAAUUUAGAACUUAUACACUGUUGGUGGGAAUGUAAUAUUGUGUAGCCACUAGAAAAAGUUUGGAAGAGGUUAUUCAAAAAUUAAAAAUAGAAUUAUGUAUAUAUAUAUUAUAUGGUGGGAGAUAUAUAUAUGUCCUUUCUGUAUAUCAAUUGAAACCAGGAUCGGGCCGGGGAUUUAGCUCAGUGGCUCCACCGCCAUCCUCGAAAGCGCUAGGUCCCGAGUUCGAUCCCCGGUACCAAAAAUAAAGAAAGAAAGAAAGAAACCAGGAUCUCCUGAGCUGCAGAGUACACUGAACUCAUGUGGGGAACAUACAGAAAUGAUUGCUCCCCCUAACACAUUCUAAUUUAAUUGGUAAGGACUAUGACUGGGCAUUGAACUUCUAAUGUUCGGGAUAAUGUGGGAACCUUUGUCAUGGGCUAUUCAAGGCCUUCUCCAGUGCCUAGCACAUAGUACACUCAAUGUACGUCUGUGCUAAGUUUUCUCUCCACAUGCUUUUCUGGCCCAUUGGGCACUUAAUCCUUAAAUUCUUAGGUUGGCAACAAUUCAAAAGCAAACAGAAAUUACUUACCUAGCUAAUACGAGCCCCCAAUUCAUUUCUAAUGAAUUUUCCAAAGCAACAGAAAGGAGUUAGGAAGCACAGGCCAAUGUUAAAUUCUGGCUGGUUUGCCUCCCUCUUGGAGGAGAACAUGCCUCACUGCUCCCUCCCGCUUUUCUGUUUCUUCUCUCCAGCAGCCAUGUGUUGACACGACUUGUUGCUACAAAUUGAUCCCAAGGCAGGGCCUACCUUCUUGGGAAGAAAAGCUGAGGCCCUGAAAGGAAGGAAAGCUUCUGUUUUGCUGCAUCUAAGGAGCAAACAACUCAGAAGACCUUUCAGCAUCUAUGUAGGCCAUAAAACUACACCUCCCAGAUGUUAUUGGAUCCAGAUGUUGAUCAUUGCUAGCAAUAAUCUAGAAUAUAUGCGAGGUAUGGACGUCUUUUCUGUAUGCUCAAAGUUCUGGAUUAAAUAAUGAGUUCAUCAAGCCUUAUUUAGAAGCCUUUCUAUGGGCCCACACACACACACUGUUGGUAAUACAGGCUCAAGAACUCAGUGGAGCUGUUACCAGUGCUGGAGUCUCCUGUUAGAGGUGAUUUCUAGGUUCUUUCUGUCCAGAACAAAGAACUGAAGGAAACAAGCAUAAAUGGUGGUGAAGUUUUGUUUAUUAAAGCUAAGAAGGGAUUAAAUAUAAGGAAAAACAGGCUCUGCAGAGGGAGUUUGGGCCAAGUAAAAGUAGGAAAAAGGGAGGAAAAAAAUACUAAAAUAUACCCUACAUCAUAGGGUGUGCUAUGUGAAGAGAGGUGCGCUUAAUGGUGAUGGUCCGAUUUUUAUAUUUCCCACUCUAGCCUCAUGUACAGGUCAUCCAAUCAAAAACUUGCUGGAGUUCUCAAGAGAAGUCCACUUGCAGAGCUUUGGGAAUGGUUGGGGAGGGGCUUACCACACCUAUCUUCCUGCCUCAGAGCCUCAGGAAUCACAUAGCAGAGUUUCUUUAGAAAGAUGCCUGAGGCACAUUAAACAGUACCAAUUAAAUAAUAGCCUAAGGCAGUAAUCCUGGAGAUGCUACAGGCCCUCAGAGGACUGAGGGCUAAGUAAAUGGUCUAAGUGGCAGCUUGUUACAGAUGCGAGGCAAGGAACAGGUGGACUUCAUGGCUUUGAUGCUAACUUCCUCAACCCACCUUCAAUUGCAAGACAAGAGUCAUCUUAGAAGUUUAUUUCCAGGGUUCCUCCCAGCUUUGUGGUGAGUCCGAGAGUUUGUCACCUCAUAGGAUGGAUGUUUGUGGAGGCCCUCUUGUAAUCGAUUGCAUCCAUCUGGGAAGAGGGGAAACGUGAAGAAGGUUAUCAGCAGGGCUCAGUCAGGACAGACUGCACCUGUGAUAUAACAGAGGCCAAUCAAUAGAACACAUAAGAGGCAGAAAGGGAACCUCUGCCUAUCAGGAUUAAGAAGAGCAGGAAGCAGCUAACACCCCAAGGGGUGGAGGGAGACUCCUAGCUUGUGGAGAGUUGGAGUCUCUGGAACUGCCUGCUGGGGCUGGUGUCUCCUAGAGCUAACAUGAGGCAGGCCUGGAAUGUGGGGAGAAUGGCAGAGUGGACCUGGUGCUGCUGCUGGAAUAAUGUGGACACAAACAUCCUGCAGACAGGAGGCCCUCCUGUCUUCUUCUACUGCUUGUGUCUCCUCCAGAACCUUCUCAGAGAGCCUGCCAGGAAGCAGCUGGCCAAGGUGAAAUGUGGCUCACAGCCUCAGUUUGGUACCCAGAAGGAAACCUAGGGCAGAUGGGUGGUUUGGAGAUGAGAGACCAGCUUAGCAAGCAGCCCAGGAAGGCAAGGGGCCAGGGACAGCUACAAGCAUGGGAAAUUGUUCAAGCAAAAUAGCAACAAUAUCCUCCAAUUCUAAGAAUCUUAUUUUGUAUCAUUUUACCCAUGCACUCCUUUAAUCCUGGCAAUCACAUUGUGAAAUUAGUAGUGUUCUUCACCUGUGGCCAAGGAAGAAAGUUAGCUCAGAGAGGUUAAGUAACUCUCCAACCUCAUCCAGCUUGUGAGAGGUACAAUGAGGUCUGAACCCAGGACUGUCUGAUUUCUAAGCUCUUCCCAUCACAAGAUGCACAGUGUGUGCCGAAAAUGUGCUUGGUGCAUCUAAGUGGCAAUGUAUGAUUGAGUAGAAGGGUGAUGUGAAGAUGGCGGAGCUCUGCUAGAUUUUAAAAGGGAGGUUGGGCUAGAUCAGUGGUGGUGAACCUAUGACACUCAUGCCCCAGCAGGUUGCUUGUAUCAUUGAAAGCUCUGAAAUGUUCGCCAUCAGUGGGCUAGACUGUGGAGAGGUGAGGGAUUUGGACCUUUUAAGCAAUUGCAAGUGGUAAAGAUUUUGAAAGUGAUAGAAUGAUAUGAACACUCCUUUAGAGUGAUUUGGAAAGAGUGAAUGAGCAAGAGGAAUUGAAGAGAGGAGAAAGUGGUUCUGAAAAGUCUUCUUAUGCAGUAAUUACAAUAGCUGAGGAAUGAGGUGGUAAAAGUCUUGAUUUGGAUGUGGCAAUGGACAAAGAAGAGGAAGUUAAAUAUUUGGAAGAAAGAAUAAAUGGGAAUGGCCAGACAGAAAUAUUGUAUGAAAGUAGAACUCAAAGAUAAUUCUGAAGUUUGGGGUUCUAGAUAACUAGCAGAAUAAUGAUACUGCCUUCAGAAAUAGAAUUCUGGGAGUUCUGAAAUGUUUUCCCUUCGUCCCUGUUUUGCCCUCGUCUCCUCAAUAUGCCAUGUAGCAUAGGAUUCCCCAAACUCUGCUCUCUCAACUUGAUCAAUAAAGUCAAUAAUUUAGAAUUGAUUGAAAGGUAACUGAGAAAGUAUCAGAUUGCAGAUUAGGAACUUGAUUUUAUAACCAAUCUUCUAUCAUCACCAGCUAUUGAACUUUAUUCAUUAUUUAAUAGUGUGACUAAGAGAAUUUGUUGGAAUAAUGCAUAUCAAUGAUUCUCAGCCUUCAUUAUCUAUCAUAACCAUCUGCAAAUAUUUUAAAAAUCUGGACCCAUCUCCAGAAAGCUGAUUCAAUUAAUCUAAGACAAUGGUAGUGAACCUAAGGCAUGCGUGCCCUGGCAGGCUGUUUAUAUCAUCGAAAGCUCUACAGGUUCACCAUCACUAGUCUGGGAUAAGACCCAGUUUUCUCCCAGCCAUGGUGGUCUAAGGGGGCAAUGGCUGGAGAUGAGCCAGAAGGACAGGGUGGGUCCAGGGCUGAAGUGGAGCGUGUGUGGCCAUGACCAGUGGUGUGUUUGUUUUUUUUAAAUCAGUACUAUAUCUCUGGUUAUCUAUGUGCAUGCCUUCUCACAGGCAUUUUCAAUUGACCCAAUAGAGUUUUACUAAUGCUCAAGACUGUCAGCAAAAGAGAACUCAUCCAGAACUGGUUUACUAGCAGCAUCUCGCAAGAUAAAGAGGCCAGAGAAAAUAAGAUCUCUGCUUGCCCACAACACUGAAAAUUUUGGUUGGACUUGCAUAAGAACAAGAACCUGCCAUUCCCCCAUUGUGAGGGCCAUGGGGCUUUCUGAGCAGGAUGGGUUAUGCAUCUGACUGCAGUUCUUAGAAGGUAGCACAUUACUUGGGAGUAAUUCAAACACAAAGGAGCCAUAAUUUAUCCAGAUGACAGGUAGAAAAGCUGGUGUGAAAGUAUCAUCAAAAUUCCCCUUGAACUUCCCUUAUUAUGACAUGAAGAUGAGGAAACUCUGUUCUCACAGUGUUACCCAGCUAGUGUGGCACUUGCUUCAGUGAUGAUGGGAAUUACAGUGAACCCUCAAGUUAUGACCAGCCUGACAAACAAUUGGGGUUAAUUAGGUUAAUGGAAGAUUCAUCUGCCUCUUGUUAUCUAUAGCGUGUACCCAGGUAAACAUCCAGACCUCAGCUGUAUUGACUUAUAACCAACCCUCCCGUGGGAAACGAUUGAGUUCGUAAGUCAAGGGUCCACUAUAAAACUAAAGUGAUAGUAUGAAUUUACAGGCAACUGUUUUAAUUAGAAAGUAAGAAAGAAG